UGGGGAAUAUUGGACAAUGGGCGAAAGCCUGAUCCAGCCAUGCCGCGUGUGUGAAGAAGGUCUUCGGAUUGUAAAGCACUUUAAGUUGGGAGGAAGGGCAGUAAGCGAAUACCUUGCUGUUUUGACGUUACCGACAGAAUAAGCACCGGCUAACUCUGUGCCAGCAGCCGCGGUAAUACAGAGGGUGCAAGCGUUAAUCGGAAUUACUGGGCGUAAAGCGCGCGUAGGUGGUUCGUUAAGUUGAAUGUGAAAGCCCCGGGCUCAACCUGGGAACUGCAUCCAAAACUGGCGAGCUAGAGUAGGGCAGAGGGUGGUGGAAUUUCCUGUGUAGCGGUGAAAUGCGUAGAUAUAGGAAGGAACACCAGUGGCGAAGGCGACCACCUGGGCUCGUACUGACACUGAGGUGCGAAAGCGUGGGGAGCAAACAGG
rnacentral:rRNA from 1 species